CUUUCAUAAACAGCUAAUAAUUAAACAAACCCAGGGUUUAUGUGGAUUCCCAACAGUGAAUUCCCAAUCCCAAUUUACUCAGUUGGGACAAAACACAAAAAAGUCCAUCAAUUGAGUCAAUUAUUAGAAGGAAGUUUGAGAUCCAAGUGAGAGUUCUUGCCACUUGUAAAAACCCUUCUGGUUCACUAAUGCUGGAAUGUUGGGAAUUCUCCCAGGAAUGCUGGGACAAGUCAGCUGGACGAGUAUCAUCGUGGGAAGAAAAACCUUCUUCAGUUUUAUCUUUGAACCCAGCCUUUCCUGCAGCCUGUGUUGGAUCAGCGGUGGCGAUGAGUAAUUCUGCCCAUCCCUUCCUCGAAGCUGUACAGUGCAGAAUGUCACAGACUGCCGAGGUGAUGAUUCACCCUGGAACGCUGAGCCUUCCUGUAGCUUUCAUCGAUCGGCCCCAGGAAUCCACUGUGGAUCUGGUCUUCAAACUUCAGCUCCACUAGCACUGCUGUCAGCUUCUCCAGGCACGGUUAAGAUAUUUAUUUAUUAGUCACAUGUACAUCGAAACACACAGUGAAAUGCGCCUUUUGCAGCCCACAAGUGUCGUCACACUUCCAGCGCCAACACAGCACGCCCACAACUUCCUAACCCGUACGUCUUUGGAAUGUGGGAGGAAACCGGAGCACCCGGAGGAAACCCACGCAUUCAUGAACACUGAUUUCAGAUGGUGCUAGAGUCAGCACUUUCAAUCUAAGACACCACAUGAAACCAGCUUCCUGAAGAAAACCAAACUGCCCUGCAGGUUCGGAGAUGAUUCCAGCUCCUCUUCAAGAUCCUGAGGGGAGAGAGUGCUGAGAGUUUGAAUUAGAAACCUUUACUUCACCCGGAUCUCCUCCCGCCCUUCCCCACCACCCCCAGAGGCCUCAUCCUGUGACCUGUGGAGAAAUGUCAUGGAUGCUGUCCGACUGGGUCAGGGAGCCUCCUUCUCUGGACAACACGAGGGGUCCUUACAACAGCCAUCCUUUCCCAGAUCACAGCUACUGAGACCAGCCUCAUUCACAGACCGAGGUUUGAAAUCACCUCCAGUCAGUACCCUGGCUGGACACGUACAACACCCGGACCAGAGUGCUGCUGUUGCCACAGUGACAGGAAAAUAGGACCUGGUCACUGCACGGUCCAUCACCUGGCUACGGUCAGCUGAAGAUACAAUACCCCUGCCAAGGAGCAGCACUGCAGACACAAACUACACUUUGCAAGAAGACUGCAGUAGAACUGUUCAAAAGAUUGAAACUAGUCAUGUCCCCUUUGACCCUCAUCAAUUUGUAUCGAUGCACCAUAGAAAGCAUCCUAUCCGGAUGUAUCACAUCUUGGUAUGGCGAUUGCUCUGCCCGGGACCAUAAGAAACUGCAGAGAGUUGUGGACACAGCUCAGCGCAUCACAGAAACCAGCCUCCCCUCCAUGGACUCUGUCUACACUUCUUGCUGCCUCGGAAAAGCAGCCAACAUAAUCAAAGACCCCACCAUCCUGGACAUUCUCUCUUCUCCCCCCUCCCAUUGGGCAGAAGAUCCAAAAGCCUGAAAUCACGUAUCACCAGGCUCUAUCCCGCUGUUAUAAGACUAUUGAACGGUCACCUAGUACCUCGUUAUGGCCUUGAAUCUUAUUGUCUGCCUGCACUGCACUUUCUCUGUAACUGACACUUUAUUCUGCAUUCUGUUAUUGUUUUCCCUUGUACUACCUCAAUGCACUGUUGUAAUGAAUUGAUCUGUAUGGAUGGCCACUGUACCUCGGUACAUGUGACAAUAAUAAACCAACUUACCCAUUGGGCAGGAACCAUGUCCCAGAGUCAGAUGGGUUAGGCAGUGCUGACGUUUGCCAGAACGACAGCUGAUUGAUUCAGGGAACAAAAUGACCAUGUUGGAAAUGAACUCCUCUCAUUAUUUCUGCCCCCUAAUGCUGAUGGUCAGACUCCCACAGUCAACACCUUGGGACCUGGGUCUCACACACACAGCAAUGCCAGGGUGCACAUGACUGAGAUGCACUUGUUUCAGCCACUUACUUGUGACGACACAGGAGGCCGUUCAGCCCAUCAUCCAUGCCAGCCCCCAGAAGAACAAUCCUGUCAGUCCCAUUCCCCUUUCCCCUGCAGCUUCAUCUCUCACACGCUCAUCUACUCCCCUUCGAUUCUUCUGCUGCUCACCUACACACUCGGGGUUAUUUACAGCAGCCAAUUAACCCUCCGGCCCACACGUCCGUGGGAUGUGGGAGAAAACCGGAGGUUGGGAUUGAACCUGGGUUUCUGGGGUUGUGAGGCAGUGGUGCUGAUUGCUCCUACCUCCAUCCACCUUGUCCUCUCACCGAGAAGCCUUAAAAUAACCACUGGCAACAUAAGAACAUAAAAAAUAGGAGCAGAAGGAGGCCAUCCGGCCCGUCGAGCCUGCUCCGCCAUUCAAUAAGAUCAUGGCUGAUCUGGCGGUGGACUCAGAUCCACCUACCUGCGUUUUACUAUAAUUCCCCUACAAUGCAAAAAUCUAUCUAACUGUGUGUUAAAUAUAUUUAAUGAGGUAGCAGAGAUUCAAUUCCCUGGGCAGAGAAUUCCACAGAUUCACUACCCUCUGGGAAAAGCAGUUUCUCCUCGUCUCCACCCUAAAUCUAUUCCCUGAAUCUUGAGGCUUUGUCCCUUAGUUCUAGUCUCACCUACCAGUGGAAACAACCUUCCUGCCUCUACCUUAUCUAUCCCUUUCAUAAUUUUAUAUGUCUCUAUAAGAUCCCCUCUCAUUCUUCUGAAUUCCAGUGAGUACAGUCCCAGGCGACUCAAUCUCUCCUCAUAGGCUAACCCCCUCAUCUCCGGAAUCAACCUGGCGAACCUCCUCUGCACCACCUCCAAAGCCAGUACAUCUUUCCUCAAGUAAGGAGACCAGAACUGCACGCAGUACUCCAGGUGCAGCCUCACCAGUACCCUGUACAGUUGCAGCAUAACCUCCCUGCUCUUAAAUUCAAUCCCUCCAGCAAUGAAGGCCAACAUUCCAUUUACCUUCUUGAUAACCUGUUGCACCUGCAAACCAACCUUUUGCAAUUCAUGCACAAGCUCUCCCAAGUCCCUCCGCACAACAACAUGCUACAAUCUUUCAAUAUUUAAAUAAUAAUCUGAUCUUCAACUUUUCCUUCCAAAGUGAAUGACCUCGCAUUUACCAAUGUUGUACUCCAUCUGCCAGACCCUUGCCCACUCACUGAACCUAUCUAUAUGUCUCUGCAGACUCUCCACAUCCUCUGCACUGGAGAAACUGGAGAAAAGCAGCAGCUGAAGGGAAGGUUUAAGGACCAACAUUUGUACAGCGGGUCUACAGAGGUUGCUGCACUUGGUCCAGGAGAUGAAGACCGAUGAUUGGUCCAAUCACGUCUGUUAUGCCUUUUGCCUCUCAGGUUUAGAUCAAUGGAGCAAAGCUCUCCCUACCCUGCCAAUCACAGACUGGUACCCAACACAACCGCUGCCUUUGUGUGCACUGGGCUUUGCUGGGGGCAAUGUCGGGGUUUAAAUUAAACCUGUUACUGGAAGGAAAGGAAAGGCAAAGUAAAUGUUCAAUCCAAGCAAACCUCCACUUUAUAAGAACACACUUCAAGGAAUUAAAUACUUUCCAUAAAAAACAUUGACACUCAGUUUUGAGAACGAUGCAAAAACACAAACUUUUCCAUAACUAUUCCAGAAAUAGUUUUUGUCUUUUUUUUAGGAAUAAACUUUGUGUUAUGAUAAUCUAGUAAAC